CUGAAACCCAUACAUUUAAGUUGACAAUUAUAUAAGAAUUUUGAAAUAUUUUACUAUUAUUAUAUUUUGAAAUAUAAUAUUAAUUUUAGUACUCUGUGUUGCGAGAGAGGACAACAGUUUUGUUCACCUAAAUCGGGGAUGGGAAAAUGUUUAUCCCGCAAGGUUAUAAUUGUGCGAACGAAGGCUAGAUAAAGGGAAUAUCAUUUUACGGAAGGAAGGGCAUAAAAAGUUGCGAAAAAUUCAAUUACAUUCCUAACAAAUAAGGAAGGCUAAGAGAAAUACUUUAUGUUCUAAAACGUCAACCUGAGGAUCGAAAUCCAAAUCGAUAUGGAUACACCGGUAACCCCCACGCCAACUCUCCGUUCGGCUGUUACUGUGCCUCGCUCCGGAACUGUUCCAGUAGCAGCGCCCCGAACCAUCACGGCAGCCACGGCGCCAACCGUGACACGAAGCUCAACAUGCGCAGCACCGACGCCGGCGCCUCCGAAACCGCACCGCACCAGAUGUUCGCUCUGUUGCCGUUCUCAUAGGCUGCAGCAUUGCUCUAUUUUCAAGGGAAUGUUACCCGUACAACGUCAGAAGGUGGCACAGGCACAUGGGCAUUGUUUAAACUGCUUGGCCCAGUCACACGCCACGCUUGAAUGCGAAUCUGAUACCUUGUGCCGGUUGUGUGAAAGACCGCAUCAUACGUUACUCCACCGGAACGCCGGACAUCCUGGCUCACCAACUGUCCUCCGCCGCCGUACGGCCACCCGACGAUCGCAGCCUAACCGUGUGGCACGGCAUCUAGAAGCUGGAUGGUUCUGGCGCCUCCUCAAUACGACAUCCACGCGCAACCAAAUAAGGCCACAACCUCACCGCCCCACCGGCCUGAGCGGCGUUGUAGCUACGUUACAGGCACUACAGCGUCUACUAGGCUAGUACUCGCCGAACUAAUUUAACUAAAGGGCAUCACUGAUCAGUGAAUACAACACUCUCCACAUCAACAUGUUAAUUAGAAAAAAACAGGGCAUCACUGACCAGUGAAUACAACACUCUCCACAUCAACACGUUAAUUAGAAAAACAGGGCAUCAUUGAUCAUCUCCACACCAAACUGUUAUUGUUCCAUUUUUCAUUUUAUACCAACGAGAAGGUGACGCUGUGCCUUUUUUUGUUCUACACAGUUCUAGAAGUCACGUUCGCCGCUACACACACGCACCGCACCGUCUAUUUAAAACAUUUUUAACUUUGGAUUUUUGGCACCCUCCGGUCAUUUUAUAUAGAGAUCAUUCGUUUGUUAUUUGGCUUCUACCCGUUUUAUAUACAUUAACUUUGGUUUGGUAACGUUUAACCUUUGAGUAUCGCUACAUGCGAAAGAAAUUAGCGUAGUAUCCAGUGCUAUAACCUAAAAAGAAAUUGGCGUAGUAUCCAGUGCUAUAACCUAAAAGGAAGUUGGCGUAGUAUCCAGUGCUGUAACCUAAAAGGAAAUUGGUGUGGUGUGCUAAUCGCAUCAAAGAAGUUUUAUUCAGUGCUAUAACCUGAAAGUGAUUGACCGUCCAAACGUCCCAUUUCUACCGCUGUGUUGAUAGAUUAAUUAUCAUCUCAACUACCAUACGGUGUAAAAAUAUACAAUUCAUUUUUUAAACAUAUAUAAUUCAUUUUUAACCAUAUAUUGGUAAUAUAUACAACUUCCUUGUAAAAAUAUACAAAUUAUAGUAAGAAAAAAAAUACCUGGGUUUAUAAAUUAUUACUCUAAUAAAUAAAUUGUAUAUAACGUA